UGGUGCUUUUAUGCUGUUUGUUCUUUUUGGAGAUUGACAGGCCCUGGUCACUAUGAACUGUCAAUGUAUGGAAAGAGUUGCGUGAAGAUUUUUCACAAAUUCUCCUUUUGUGUUCCACUGAAAAAAAAUAACUGGAUAUGAAUGUGGAAUGACAUGAAGUCCACUAUAUCAAGCCAAAACACCACACCACCAUCUGAAGUGCUGUCCAUGGUGCUGCAAGACUCCAGAUGUGCCUUGGAUUCUCGGCCUGUCAUGCUUCCCUGAGAUCAUUUACACUGUUGAUACAUACAUUACAUGUAUGGUAUUUUGAGGGUACUCAGAAAAAGGAAGACAUCAAAUGAAAAUGGGCUUUGCAAAAGUGGAGACAGUUCCUGUGAACAGAUGUCAGCAAAGACAGUGGAGCCAACAACACAAACACAGAUUGAAGAAAUUCCAUAUAGCCAUAUGUUCAUAUGUCCAUUUGAAUGCCUCUCCGACUUGAUGCAAGAAUCUUCUGUCAGAUGACGUGUAAUGGUGCUGAACAAGACUAAAGAGCUUCUGUCUUCCGUGGUGUCACAACUGACCAUUGCCUGUUUGUCAGUUUGGGCAAUUCUCUAGGAAAAGCAGCCAAGGGACCAAGACAGAACAAUUGCAAAGCAACGUUAUCCAGACAAAACACAACAACACAACACCCUCCUGUGUUUUCUCAAGCAAUAUUGUUUCAUGGCACAGAGGUCUCCAAGCUACUGUUCCUCCGGAGACAACAAGCAUUCUCCAAAAUGGUUCAUUUUUUUGAUACAGGAGCAGCAAACAAUGAAAAUAGCUUGAUAACAAUCAAUUAGGAAUUUAAUUUGGAGAAUAUCUGGAGAAGUUAGAGUAGUCAAGAAGAUGAGAUCCUCUUAAAUGUGGCCUGAGCAAAGAAGUGUGUGAGAGCUGGAUUAUAUGAAACAUAAAUGAAACAUAAGUGGUUUAGGCUAGUAUUUAAAUACAUGUGAUACAAUGUAUGCAUGUUGUCCAACAAAAAGUAUGACAUUUUAAAUAA